rnacentral:tRNA from 1 species
UAGCUCAGCUGGGAGAGCACCUCCCUUACAAGGAGGGGGUCGGCGGUUCGAUCCCGUCAUCACCCACCU